UGCACAGCCAAAACUCUCUAGGAUCCGCUCUGUGAGCUUUACUGAGGAAGUUGCAUUGCAUUGUGAUUGUCAAAUCAGCUUUAUACUUUUUGUUACCCCUGAUGAAGUCGAUAAGACGAAACACGUUGGGUUUGUCAGUCAGGAGUUUCCUACUUAGUUUGUGAAGAUACUCCCUUGUGAGCAAACACCUUAAAAAGGUGAGGGAGUAUCUAGAAUUCAAAUUAUUCAACAAAUGCAGUGGUUGUCUUUUUUACUGACAUUUAUAUUUAC